rnacentral:rRNA from 1 species
AACGAACGCUGGCGGCAUGCCUAACACAUGCCAGUCGAACGAGACCUUCGGGUCUAGUGGCGCACGGGUGCGUAACGCGUGGGAACCUGCCCUUAGGUUCGGAAUAACUCCCCGAAAGGGGUGCUAAUACCGGAUAAUGUCUUCGGACCAAAGAUUUAUCGCCUUUGGAUGGGCCCGCGUUGGAUUAGAUAGUUGGUAGGGUAAAAGCCUACCAAGGCGACGAUCCAUAGCUGGUCUGAGAGGAUGAUCAGCCACACUGGGACUGAGACACGGCCCAGACUCCUACGGGAGGCAGCAGUGGGGAAUAUUGGACAAUGGGCGAAAGCCUGAUCCAGCAAUGCCGCGUGAGUGAUGAAGGCCUUAGGGUUGUAAAGCUCUUUUACCCGGGAUGAUAAUGACAGUACCGGGAGAAUAAGCUCCGGCUAACUCCGUG